UGGCUCUGGCAUCGACGAAGAACGCAGCGAAAUGCGAUACGUGAUGCGAAUUGCAGAAUCCACGAGUCAUCGAAUCUUUGAACGCACAUUGCGCCUGCUGGCAAUCCGGCAGGCAUGCCUGUUCGAGCGUCAUUUCCACCCUCGGACUUUUUCUUGGUCUGGUGUUGGGGCUCUACCUCCCCCUCUCUGUGGGGGGGUAGUUCCUGAAAGGCAGCGGCGGACCGUCUCGUCUUCCGGCGUAGUACAUUUUCUUCGCUAGAGUGGGCGCGGCGGUGAUCCAGCCUUGACCGGAUCAUUGUGAUCCAAUGCGGCUUCGGCUGCUGUGAACGACUUCGGACAGGUAGGAAUACCCGCUGA
rnacentral:misc_RNA from 1 species